GCCUGGGUGGCCCAGUGGUUGAGCGUCCGACUUUAGCUCGGGUCGUGAUCUCAUGGUUCAUGAGUUCAAGCCCCAUAUCGGGCU
rnacentral:tRNA from 1 species